UGUGUGUUUACAGGCAGUUGCAACAGCGUGACUUUAGAUCAUUAGAAUGCAUUUGCCAAAAGCCACAAAAUACACCUGAAUGGAUUUCUGCAAAUAUGAACAUCCUUUUACAUUUGGGAACAUUACAGUCCUCUUUAUCAAACAACCAUGAAAAGUUCAGUCCAGAGGAAAAGGGGGAAAAGCAACUCCAGACUAUCAUCUGUGGAGUCAGACAACCCUUGACGCACAGCAUAUACCGUCCAGUACAUCUACCAGUGAUCUCUGGUUCUCGGGUUUUGAAGAAAGUAUGCCCCGCUCCUACCCAAGCACUGCUUUUUAAAUCCAUACAGACUGUAAACCUUUUCGCCUAUAUGAACUAAAGACACUUUAAAUAUAGAAGACUACUUUCAUUCAGGGAGAGGCCUCGCGCUGAAGCAAUCUCCGGGCCCUGCACAAAGGAUAGAAAUGUCUGUGAAUUUUUACUUGUAAAUGGAUAAAUAACUAGAUUAUUUUAUGUCCUGAAUUUUACAUGGUCCGUUUUGAAAAUGUUUUUUUUUUAGAAAAUAAUAACGCCAUUUGUCUGGGUUCUUAAUCAGACAUCUGUGACUGGACAGCUCGCACAACAACACAGAUAUUGGAUUCCACUUCUGCUAGAAGUUGGUGUUAUUCAGACAAAUUGUUCUUCCAGAAAGAGAGAAGGAAUUAGAUAAUUAUAAUAUUCUAAAUCCAUUUGAGGGACAUUAACAAAUCAAAACAUCUUCCCUAGCUCAGAUCCUUUAUUCGUGUUUGUAUUUGUGUCUGGUUGGCAGAUCAAUGCUACACCUGUCUGGGUUGUGUUGCUUGCACUAAGCUGUCUGUCUGCCACUGGUUAUACUGAUAACAUAUUCCCCUACACACACACUGAGACGCUAUAGAAUGUAUCAUGUAGAACAGAUAGGAUUUCCUGUUCUAUUCAUUAUAUUUCUAUCUGCAACAUUCUGAACCAGGCUGAAUACACACCGGCACAAGGGCUACAUCUCCAUUCCAGAAACUGGCUUGUUACCUGUAAAAAAAUAAAUAAAUACAUCUUUACAAACAUUCUCAUGCCUCUGCCAAACAUGAACAUUCCCCAACAUUUAAAUCCACCUGUAAAGGUCUAGGAUAAACACCUAACCAACCUAGUGUUGGUAUGUGGUUAUGUUAAGGACAGAUGUCCAAAACCCAACGGUAAUGAGGUAGAAGAACAUUUCACCACUUGUCUUGUCAUCAUUAGUGAGACAUAAAGACGCCUCCCCCUGGCAGCAGUCCUGCUAUAGGAGCUAUGUGAUGUUUGAUAGCUCCAGCUCAUUGGAAUGUACCAGGGCCGUUAUGUGAUGUUUGACAGCUCCAGCUCAUUGGAAUGUACCAGGGCCGUUAUGUGAUGUUUGAUAGCUCCAGCUCAUUGGAAUGUACCAGGGCC